UUUUUUAAUAUUAUUAUGCUCCAAAUGAAUGUGUGUGCACCUCAUCUAAUAUGUGAUGCAUUAAAACAGCGGGACAAGUGCUGGGCCAGCCGGAGACAAGAAAUAUCAGACAGAAGUACAAGCUGGAGAGUGAAAGUCCAAUGCCCCCGGCCCCACAUCACACCCACCCACAACUAAUCAGAACUGCACAUGGCAGGGACUAGUAUGCCACAGCCAACCUGGUUCCAGAAGCAGCAAAAAAGGGAAAGAGAGAAAGAGAGAGAGAGAGAAAGAGAGAGAGAGAGAGAGAGAGAGAGAGAGAGAGUUUUAAAUAUAAUAAGUAUUUAAUUUAUAUUUAUUAGUCUGUGUUGCUGCCUCUUCCUGACCCUCCCUCCUCCCAAUCAUGUGUGAUUAUUGAUGUGAUUAUUGAUGGUGUAUCAUUGAGGAUGGCUUCAGACAAAGAAGGUCGGUGGAAGUUAAAGAGAGAUGACCAAGACGGGUGUAAUUCUGAUGUAUUAUUUUGAGUGGAGGUAGACAAGUUUUCCAUGGAGAUGUACUCUAUUAGUAAAUUUUUCCAAGUUGUAAUGUGUAUGGCGUUCCUCAAUUUCCAGUUCAUGAGGAUAGUUUUCUUGGCGAUAGGUAGAGCUACUAGGAGUAAUUGACUGUUUGUACUGUUUAAAUUGAUUAUGGAUAUGUCACCUAAUAUACAGAGGGAGGGAGAGAGCGGGAUGUGACAACCCAUAAGGUUGGAUAGUGAGUCGAUAACGUUUUCCCAGAAUGUUUUAACCGUAGUGCAUUGCCAAAUAGUGUGUAAAUAUGUAUCUGGGGUGUUUUGUGUGCAAUGUGAGCAUGUUUCUGAAGUAAAAACCAUUUUAAAUAAUUUCUGUCCAGUUAGGUGAAAUCUAUGAAAUACUUUAUACUGUAUAAAUUGUAAGUUGGUGUUUUUUGUCAUGAAGUAGAUAUUUUUGCAGAUUUGUGUCCAGAAAGCGGCAUUGGGAGCAAUAGAUAAGUCUGAUUCCCAUUUAGCAUUGGGUAGGCUUAAUGUGUUGUCUGAUUUGGAUAUUAUUUUAUAUAUUUUGGAGAGUAUUUUUUUUUGGGGGGGGGGGGUUAUAUUAAUUAGUUCUGAAAUUGGAGGCGAAAGGUCUAGAUUAAUUCUCUGAGUGUCAAUUUUUGAUUGAAUGGAUGAUUUGAUUUGUAAAUAUUCCAAAAAACAAUUACUCCCAAUGCCGUAUUUCUGGACCAAAUGGGAAAAUGGUGCUAAGUUGUUAUUAAGGAGGAUGUGUUGAAGUUGUGUGAUGCCCUUAUCUACUCAUGUGGGUAAGUUGAGUGGCUUCUUAUUUACUAUAAAAUCUGGGUUAUUCCAGAUCGGGGUGUAUUUAGAUGAUGCAAGAGGGGUGUUUGUGAUUUGAUGAAAUUUCCACCAGGCUGUCAGAGCUGUGGCUAUUGUUGAUGAUUUAAAACAGUGGUGCUUUUUGAUUGCCUGACUAUAGAAAGGUAAUUCUGAAAUGUUAAUCUCUUUACAAAUUGACUGUUCAACAUCUAGCCAUGUGCUUUUUGAUGGGUUAAGAUGAAUCCAUUUGUAUAUGUUUUGGAGCUGAUUGGCCAAAAAGUAGUGGUAGAAAUGUGGUGCUUCCAGUCCUCCUUGUGUUUUUGGUUUCUGUAGUGUAGUCAAUUUAAUUCUUGGAGUCUUAUUUUUCCAGUAGAAUUUAGUGACGAUUAAAUCUAGGGAUUUAAACCAGGUGAGGGUGGGUAGUGCUGGAGUCAUUGUAAAUAAAUAGUUUAAUUUAGGGAGUAUAGUCAUUUUAAUUACUGAUAUUCUGCCCAUAAUGGAUAGUGGUAAAUUCAUCCAGCGGUGAAGGUCAUCAUUUAUUUUUUUAAGUAAUGGAGUAAAAUUGAGUCCAAACAGCUCUGACAGCCUGGGGGAAACAUUAAUGCCCAAGUAUGUGAUAUAGUUAGUGCACAAAGGAAUAGGUGAUGUCUGGGAUGUCACAUCCAAACUGUUAGAAUGUAAUGAAAGUAUGGCUGAUUUACUCCAGUUGAUGGAGUAUUCAGAGAUAUUUGAGAAUGAAUCAAUGAGUUUAAUCGCUUCUUGUAAUGAUGAUGAGGGGUCUAGUAAAUAUAGUAAUAUAUCAUCAGCGUAAAGACUAAUUUUGUGGUGCAUGUUUAGUGUUUGUUGUUUGGCAUGAGUUUGAGGGCAUUAAAAAGUUCAUAUUCUGAUAAGGGAGAUUCAAGAGUAUUUAUUUGAUGUUUACUGAGUUGAGGUAGGUUGAUAUUGUUGAGGAAUGAGUCAAUGUCUUUCUGAUCUGGGUCCUUAUUGGAGGAAUAUAAUUUACUGUAAAAGUUUUGAAAGAUUAGAUUUAUUUCUUCUGGUGAAUUGGUGGAUUUCCCUGCUGUGUCUACAAUCACUGGUAUUGUAGCUUUUUCCUUACUUUGUUUGAUUUGAUUUACCAAAUAUUUACCAGAUUUGUUAUUAUGAUGGAAGUUUUCUUGUCGUAGCCUAUGAAUUAGGAAUUGUGUAUGUUUAUUGAUUAAUUCGUUCAAUUUGAGUUUAUAUUUCCUUAAUGAAUCCUGAGUUUCUUCUGUUGGGUUAUUUAUGUUAAUGUCUUCUAGUUGUUUAAUUUUUUGUUCCAAUUCUACUUGUUCAUCCUUUUCUUUCCUUUUUUUUGUAAACUGAAACUGAAAUUAUUUUUCCUCUUAGUACUGCUUUUCCUGUUUCCCACAGAAGAGAUGGAGAUGUUUCCGGCGAGUCAUUCAUCUCUAGAAAACAUGCCCACUCUCUUUUGAAAUAACUCGCCAUCUGGUAGUGGGUUUAUGUUGACUAGUUGUGUUCCAUUUUAAUGUUACCGGGGCAUGAUCACUGAUGGCUAUUGGAUGAAUCUUUGAUAUGUGGGAAUAUGAGUGGUGUACUGGUGAGAAAAAUGAGUAUUCUUUACAGUUAGGAUGCUGUAGACGCCAACUAUCGCCAAGACCAAAAUCCCUCAUGAACUGUUUUAUGGUUUCUGCAGAUUUCCAAAUGCGUUUAUUGCCUAAACUAUUACAUCUAUCUACUGUUGGAUCUAGAACUGUAUUGAAAUCACCUGCAAUUAUAACUGGUCAAUUAGAAAAAUUUGAAAUUGAAGAGAAAAAGGUCUGGAAAAAGGAUGGGUCAUCUGUGUUUGGGCCAUACAAGUUGCCAAUUGUGACCGGGCUAUUAUUAGUGGAGAUGUUUAUAAUAAUGAAAUGUCCUUCAGGGUCUGUAAUAGUGGUGUUAUGAACAAAAGAGAUUUUUUUAUUUAUUAGAAUGCAUACUCCUCUUUGUUUUGUGUUGUAGUGAGCCGAGAAUAAAUGACUGUAAUUUGAUGAUUUUGUUAUAAUCUGAUUCCGAUAGAUGUGUUUCUUGCAGGAGACAUAUGUCGGCUUGUAGUUUAUUCAAAUGAUUAAAAACUUUGAACUUCUUUGUCUGAGAACCAAAUCCACGAACGUUCCAGGUUACAAAAGUGAUAGAUGACAUGUUUUAGUGAUUAUGGCAGUUAUUGACUCAGGAAUGAAAGUGAAGUGUUCAGAAAAGCCUGUCAUUAGAACAAACAUUUUUGACAUCGAGGACACGGUGUUCCUGCACUCUGAGUUACCUGGAAAAGACAGCACUUUGCUGAAGGACUCAUGAUGGACUCAGAACCACACAUCUGUAGGAUCAGUUUGGAUUCUGCUUCUGGACAUUUUAUCAGGUAUGAACAGAGAAAAGAGAAACUUCAAUGUGUUUGUCCACAUGCAUCCCAGAUUAAACCACAUAUCUCUUUGAUGAGACAAUGGUACACACACACGCACACGCACACGCAAAGUAAGUUAAUCUACAUUAUUAGACUUUAUGAACCCUAAAAGCCCGUCCCAUAUUUGGAAAUCAUCCUGGCAGCUUUGAGAAGUGUGUGUGCAGGUGAGUCUUCUAUUCUUCAUCUUUAAUCAUAUUCCUGCGGUAGUGGGAUCAUAAAUAGUUCCAGUAAACAGACGCAGACGAGUAAAGAGGAAGGCAACAGAAUGUGUUUACAUCAUGUUCUGAAUGAGCUCACAGUGAUUCCUGGGUUGAGUCUUUAAAACUACAGCAGCAGGUACAAGUCUAAAAUUCUCUGAAACACUGAAACAAAGAUGUAAACUGUCAAAUAUUCAUCUUGUUCAUAGAUCCAUAACGGUCCUCCUCAUGAGUCCAACUCGGGCUAUGCUCACGCCAAGAGGAUGGUUGACAUAUACAACAGCAAAUCUGAUGGUCAACUGAAGAAAACGGAGAGUAACGCUAAACUGAGACGCUACCUUCCUAAAUUUACCUUUACUCCAUUCCAUGAAGGUUUCGCCUCACUCAGGGGAGCAACAGCCCCUGCCGCUUCGAUGUGAAAAAAGUGGGGCAAGAUCACAUCUUUACUCAGGUUGAGGUCAGGACUCUGAGCAGGACACUCGAGAUCUUCCACACCAACCUUAACCUCCACGUCAUAAAGCUCAGUUUGUGUUGUUUAUAUCAGAGGGCGGGGCUUAGCCUUGUGCUAGCCCAUUUUACAAGCAUCACAUCAAACAAUCAAACGUUCUCUUCUGUGACAAUAAAGAGUAAACUCAGAUUGCAAAUCAAA